rnacentral:rRNA from 1 species
UAAGGAAUAUUGCGCAAUGGGCGAAAGCCUGACGCAGCGACGCCGCGUGGGGGAUGAAGGUCUUCGGAUUGUAAACCCCUUUCGGGAGGGAAGAUGGAAUGGGGUAACCCAUUCGGACGGUACCUCCAGAAGCAGCCACGGCUAACUUCGUGCCAGCAGCCGCGGUAAUACGAAGGUGGCAAGCGUUAUUCGGAUUUACUGGGCGUACAGGGAGCGUAGGCGGUUCGGUAAGCCCUCUGUGAAAUCUUCAGGCUUAACCUGGAAAAGUCGGGGGGGACUGCCGGGCUAGAGGACGGGAGAGGAGCGCGGAAUUCCCGGUGUAGCGGUGAAAUGCGUAGAGAUCGGGAGGAAGGCCGGUGGCGAAGGCGGCGCUCUGGAACGUUUCUGACGCUGAGGCUCGAAAGCGUGGGGAGCAAACAGGAUUAGAUACCCUGGUAGUCCACGCCUUAAACUAUGAAUACUAAGUGUCGGCGGGUUACCGCCGGUGCCGCAGCUAACGCAUUAAGUAUUCCGCCUGGGAAGUACGGCCGCAAGGUG